ensembl:misc_RNA
CCCUUAUGAUGGCUGUGCCUGGUCAGUUGCCUGGAGCUGCGUUCAAGGAUUUCCGGAACCUUAUGGAUUUACAGUGAUUCUCAGCUGCCUGGGGAA